CAACAAGCUGGAAAGGAGUGCAAAGGAAGAGUGUGCCCCAGAUUGAGUCCAAGUGAUAUUAAUCAUGAAACACAAUUACCACACAGUACCCCUGUGUAACAAGCUGAAGGAAUGCACAAGCAUAAAGCUCAGAAUGCCCUGAAUUUUACCUGUGCCCUACCUGUGCCAUGAAGGUCAUCUAUAGGGAAGAACCCAGUCAGCAGAACAAAAAUCAGCCUUAAACUGACAAUCUACGUUUCCGCAAAUAGUCCCUUUAGGGACCUUAUCUCCCAGCAUAAGCAGCCUAUCAGAGUGUACCUUCAAUAAAAACAAGGCCUAAUUUUGUUUUCUUAGAAGACUUU